AAAAAAUUUGAUUCUAGUUUUUAAGUUUAAUUUAUAUUUUUAUUAUAUGUAAAUUUUUGUAAUAAAAAUUAUUUAAAUAGUAAUUUAUGAUUUUAACAAUAAUUAAAUUUAUACAAUAAAAGAAAUUUUGAUAUAGAAAUAUAUAAUAGUAUUAGUAAAAUUUGUGCCAGCAACUGCGGUUAAACAGAUAAUGCAAUUAAAUUUUAUUUAGCAAUAAUAAAUAAGUAAAAAUUAAUUUAAAAUUAAAUUUAUUAGGUGAAAUUAUAAAUUUUAAAUAAAAUUAGUAAAUUGUUUAUAAAAUUAUGAAAUUCUAUUAUUAGACUAGGAUUAGAUACCCUAUUAUAAGGAAAUUAAAUAAAAUGUUAGGGGAGUAUUAGUUAUGUUCUUGAAAUUUAAAGAAUUUGGCGGUAUUUUAAUCUUUUCAGAGGAACCUGUUCUAUAAUUGAUGAUCCACGAUUAAUUGUACUUAAUUUAUUAGUUUGUAUAUCGUCGUAGGUUGAAUAUCUUAUAAGAGAAAAAAUAUUCAUGAUUUUAAAUUUUUAGAAAAAAAAUCAGAUCAAGGUGUAGCUUAUAAUUAAGAAGAAAUGGGUUACAAUAAAUUUAUUUAAAUGGAUAUAAUAGUUAAAAUUAUUAUUAAAAGUGGAUUUGAAAGUAAUAUGUUUAAUUUAAAAUAUAUGAUUUUAGCUCUAAAAUAUGUACAUAUCGCCCGUCGCUUUCAUUGAAUAUUUAAGGUGAAAUAAGUCGUAACAUAGUAGGCGUACCGGAAGGUGUGCCUGGGUUGCA
rnacentral:ncRNA from 1 species